rnacentral:rRNA from 1 species
CGGACGGGUGAGUAAUGCUUGGGAAUCUGGCUUAUGGAGGGGGAUAACUACGGGAAACUGUAGCUAAUACCGCGUAAUAUCUUCGGACUAAAGGGUGGGACUUUCGGGCCACCUGCCAUAAGAUGAGCCCAAGUGGGAUUAGGUAGUUGGUUAGGUAAAGGCUGACCAAGCCGACGAUCUCUAGCUGGUCUGAGAGGAUGACCAGCCACACUGGAACUGAGACACGGUCCAG